UACCUCCACCUAGCACACCAGCUACCUCCACUUCCCAAUACAUAAUACCUUCAUGUCAUAGACCUUAUGACCUGCAGCUACUCACUGUACCUUCCCACACCAUACUACCUCCAUGUCUAACACCAUACUACCUGCACCUACCCACACCAUACUAUUUCCACAUCACACAGGGGUAGGCAACCUUCGGCACUCCAGAUGUUGUGGUAUACAUCUCCAUAAUGCUCUUACAGCCAUAAUGUUGACAAUGCAUCAGGUGAGAUGUAGUCCACAAGAUCUGGAGUUCUGAAAAUUGCCUACCCCUGCCAUAAUACCUUCACAUCUUCUCAGCAAAAUAAAAUGAGCCCAUGCUGUGUGCUAAAAAAUUGUGGAGCCAGCAAUAAUUUUAUUAGGAUGUGGCGGCACUUAUCGAUUAGUUUCUUACAACCUUCUCUCCAUCUCAAUCAAUUCCAUGUUAUAUAAGUGCAAUUCACCAUUUUGUGAUGAACAAAAAAUAUGUUUAGCCGAAAAAUCGGUCUAUAUUAUUGCUGCCGUUCAUCCUUAGCAGUAGGAUUGUAUUUUUGCAGCGCUGUUGUAGAACACGUCAAAAAAGUUUUAUCUUGUUUUUUUUUUUUUACUGAAUAUCAAAUUGUAGUUUUUCCUCCAC